rnacentral:rRNA from 1 species
UACGGGGGGGGCAAGCGUUGUUCGGAAUUACUGGGCGGAAAGGGUGCGUAGGCGGCUUUCUAAGUUGGAUGUGAAAACUCUGGGCUCAACCCAGAGCCUGCAUCCAAAACUGGAGAGCUAGGGUUCUGGAGGGGAAAGCGGAAUUCCUGGUGUAGCGGUGAAAUGCGUAGAUAUCAGGAGGAACACCGGUGGCGAAGGCGGCUUUCUGGACAGAUACCGACGCUGAGGCACGAAAGCUAGGGGAGCAAACAGG